rnacentral:RNase_P_RNA from 1 species
UCAGUCAAACAGGUGGUCGCUGCGUGUCUGUGAUGGGCACGGAGAGGAAAGUCCGAGCAUCUAAAGAACAGGGUGCCAGCUAACGGCUGGUGAAGGCGACUUUAAGGAUAGUGCAACAGAAAUAGACUGCCACUUCGGUGGCGAUGGUGGAAAGGCGAGGUAAGAGCUCACCGGACGAUUGGAGACAAUCGUUGCUCUGUAAACCCCACCCGAUGCAAGGUUAAGUUUGGACAUAUGUGUGUUCUUUCACGUCCAACAAAAAUACCGCUUGAGCUUGUUGGCAACAGCAAGUCUGGAUAGAUGACCAUUUAAUACAGAACUCGGCUUAUGGUUGGCUGAAAAU